rnacentral:lncRNA from 1 species
CGAUUGCCUUCAACAUCAUUGACCCUACCACCUCCGCCAUCGUUGCCUCCUUUACCUCAGGCAUUAUUACGAUUUUCGCUAUACUAGCGCCAUCUCCUCCCAUUAACACUAUCUUGUUUCUACCAAUGCCACCACUAUCGCUGUCACCUUCACCACAUUUUUGCCACUCUUCACCACCAUAACACUAUUGAUACUAUCAUGCCUUCCAACAUCAUCAUUGUCACCACCACUACUC